rnacentral:rRNA from 1 species
CUGAUAGUAAGGAUCGGCUACUACGUGCCAGCAGCCGCGGUAAUACGUAGGAUCUAAGCGUUGUCCGGAUUUACUGGGUGUAAAGGGUGCGCAGGCGGACUUGUUAGUCAGAGGUGAAAUCUCACUGCUCAACAGUGAAACUGCCUUUGAUACUGCAGGUCUUGAAUCCAGAAGAGAGUUGUGGAAUUCCGAGUGUAGCAGUGAAAUGUGUAGAUAUUCGGAAGAACACCAGCGGCGAAGGCAGCAACUUGGUCUGGUAUUGACGCUCAGGCACGAAAGCAUGGGGAUCAAACAGGAUUAGAUACCCUGGUAGUCCAUGCCCUAAACGAUGAUCACUUAAUGUCGGCCCUCAGGGUCGGUGUCGAAGCUAACGCGUUAAGUGAUCCACCUGGGGAGUACGCUCGCAAGGGUGAAACUCAAAGGAAUUGACGGAUGCAGAGG